rnacentral:ncRNA from 2 species
UGAUCUGCGGCGGGAGAGCCCUGCCGGUACAUUUUCAGCAGGCGCCGUAGGAGCAAAUCCUCCCCAGGAAUCUCUCAGGCCCAUGUACCGCCGCGGCAAG